rnacentral:rRNA from 1 species
CCUACGGGAGGCAGCAGUAAGGAGUAUUGGUCAAUGGACGGAAGUCUGAACCAGCCAUGCCGCGUGCAGGAAGACGGCCCUACGGGUUGUAAACUGCUUUUGUACCGGAAUAAACCUUGAUACGUGUAUCAAGCUGAAUGUACGGUAAGAAUAAGGAUCGGCUAACUCCGUGCCAGCAGCCGCGGUAAUACGGAGGAUCCAAGCGUUAUCCGGAUUUAUUGGGUUUAAAGGGUGCGUAGGCGGCUUUUUAAGUCAGGGGUGAAAGACGGUAGCUCAACUAUCGCAGUGCCCUUGAUACUGAAGAGCUUGAAUGUACUUGAGGUAGGCGGAAUGUGACAAGUAGCGGUGAAAUGCAUAGAUAUGUCACAGAACACCAAUUGCGAAGGCAGCUUACUAAAGUAUGAUUGACGCUGAGGCACGAAAGCGUGGGGAUCAAACAGGAUUAGAUACCCUGGUAGUCCACGCCCUAAACGAUGAACACUCGAUGUUGGCGAUAUACGGUCAGCGUCUAAGCGAAAGCGUUAAGNGUUCCACCUGGGGAGUACGCCCGCAGGGUGAAACGUCAAGNGAGUGACGUGNGAGAGACGACGACGACGACGACGGAGGAGGAGG